UUCCUAGCAACCACAUGAUGGCUCACAGGCUUCUGUAACUCCAGGUAAAGGGAAUCCAGUGCCCUCUUCUUCCUCUGCAGACACCAGAUGCACAUAAUACACAGACAUACAUGCAAGCAAAACACCCAUACACAUAAAAUAAAAAUAAAUGAAUACAUUUUUAAUUUAAUUUAAUUUUUUUAGAGAAAGGAGUCAGGCAUGACAGCUCACACCUGUAGUCCCUCAUCUCGUGAAGCUGAGGCAAGAGGACUGUUGUGACUCAAAAGACAACUUGAGUUAAUGAGUUACAGGCCAGUCAGCAUUCCAUAGCAAUACAUGAGGGAGGCAGAGAGAGAUGGACAAUUUAAGCAUUCAACUCAAGAAGUCAGGUGAAACUUGGUGGCUUAAGCCUGUAGUUCUAGCACUUGGAAGGCAGGGGAUCGCCAUGACUUUGAGACUGCCUUGGGCUACAAUGAGACCCUGUCUCAAAAAAAAUAACAAACAAAAGUUGGGCAUGGUAGUACAUGUCUUUAAUUUUAGCACUUAGGAGGUAAAGGCAGGCAGAUCUCUGUAAGUUUGAGGUUAGCCUGGUCUAUAAAGCAAAUUCCUGGUCAGCCAGGGUUACAUAGUAAGACCCUGCCUCAAAAAUAAAAUAAAAUCCACAGUGAUUUCUAGUGUCACCCCAGAGGCUGAAGCAGGAGGAUGACUUGAGCCAAGGAGUUUGAGGCCCUCUUAGGAAACUUAGCAAGAUCCCAUUUUCAAAUACAAAGUUGGUCAUGCACAUCUCUAGUACUAGGCUGGAGAAUAGAGCCUGUGAAUCUAUCCUGGGCUAUGUAGUGAGUUCCAGGCCAACCUAGAAUAUAUAAAGAGACUCUGUCUUUAAACAAAAGAAAGACAUUUCAUGCUCUUUCCUGGGAAAAUUCUAGUGAUUCUAGUUAUCAAUUGAUACCAAGCUUACUGACUACAUAGGCACGAUUCUGCAUGCAUGUAGUUCUAGUCUUUGUGAGGCUCAAGGGGCAAGGGAACUAGGCUCCAAUAUUCAUUCACAACUUGAACUACACAGUGAGAACUUGUCUCAAGACAAAAUAAAGGAACAUCUCCCAUGGUUUUGGAGGUCGGGCUUCUGGGAGUGACUUAGUGAGGUGGAUAUGAUUCAUAGUGCUCAUAGGGUUACUGCCAGUCAGGGUGUCAGCCUAGAUAGCAGCUAUCUGGAGGUGUGGAUCUACUUCUUUUUUUUUUUUUAAAGAUUUAAUAUAGUGUGUUCGUGUGUGUGUGUGUGUGUGUGUGUGUGUGUGUGUGUGUGUGUGUGUGUGUGUGUAUCCGCAUGUUUCAUUGCAGGCCAGAAGAGGGCACCAGAUCUCAUUAUAGAUGGUUGUGAGCCACCAUGUUGUUGCUGAGAAUUGAACUCAGGUCCUCAGGAAGAACAGCCAUUGCUCUUAACCACUGAGCCAUCUCUUCAGCCCUACUUGUUUUUUAUAUAAUUUAUUUAUCCUUAUUUUAGGUAGAUUGGUAUUUUGCCUACAUGUAUGUCUGUGUGAGGGUGUCAGAUUCAGAUUCGAGAGGAACAGACAGUUUGUGAGCUGCCAUGUAGGUGCUGAGAAUUGAACCCAGGUCCUCUGGAAGAGCAGAUAGUGCUCUUAACUACUAAGCCACCUCUCCAGCCCUGUGGAUCCACUUCUAAGAAGAACUGCUCCCAUUGCUGUUGGUAGGAGACCUCGAUUCCGUGCCACUUUAGCUCCCUCUGUAGGACUACUCUUGACAAACCAGCAAAUAUUUCACAGAAUGCUCAAUCU
rnacentral:lncRNA from 1 species